CUGCCCGGUGACUGGAAUGUUAAACGGCCGCGGUACCCUAACCGUGCAAAGGUAGCAUAAUCAUUUGCCUUUUAAUUGGAGGCUGGUAUGAAUGGUUUGACGAGAGCUAAGCUGUCUCUUUGGAAAUAUUUAGAAAUUAACUUCUGGGUGAAGAGGCCCAGGUAAGGCUGAGGGACAAGAAGACCCUGUUGAGCUUUAGUGAGGUAACAAAUUGUAGAGAUUGAGGCUUACAAAUUUAUGUUGUAGGACCUGGUGUUUACUUAUUAAAUUAUAGUUUUGUUUUGUUGUUAAUCUUUAGUUGGGGCGACUGAGGAACAGUAAAAGCUUCCUCUGAAGUAAAUAGGUAAUUAAAUAUAUAUAUGUUUGUAAAGUUAUUGGCAGAUUUAUGAGAUCCAGUAUUGUACUGAUUAAGGGAAUAAGUUACCACAGGGAUAACAGCGUAAUCUUUCUGGAGAGAUCAUAUCGAAAGAAGGGUUUGCGACCUCGAUGUUGGACUAAGAUAUCCUAAGGGUGUAGAAGCUCUUGAUGGUUGGUCUGUUCGACCAUUAAAAUCUUACGUGAUCUGAG
rnacentral:rRNA from 1 species